rnacentral:rRNA from 1 species
AAAUUGAAGAGUUUGAUCAUGGCUCAGAUUGAACGCUGGCGGCAGGCCUAACACAUGCAAGUCGAACGGUAACAGGAAGCAGCUUGCUGCUUUGCUGACGAGUGGCGGACGGGUGAGUAAUGUCUGGGAAACUGCCUGAUGGAGGGGGAUAACUACUGGAAACGGUAGCUAAUACCGCAUAACGUCGCAAGACCAAAGAGGGGGACCUUAGGGCCUCUUGCCAUCGGAUGUGCCCAGAUGGGAUUAGCUAGUAGGUGGGGUAAAGGCUCACCUAGGCGACGAUCCCUAGCUGGUCUGAGAGGAUGACCAGCCACACUGGAACUGAGACACGGUCCAGACUCCUACGGGAGGCAGCAGUGGGGAAUAUUGCACAAUGGGCGCAAGCCUGAUGCAGCCAUGCCGCGUGUAUGAAGAAGGCCUUCGGGUUGUAAAGUACUUUCAGCGGGGAGGAAGGGAGUAAAGUUAAUACCUUUGCUCAUUGACGUUACCCGCAGAAGAAGCACCGGCUAACUC